rnacentral:lncRNA from 1 species
GGCUUGACCCUCCCUCUCUGUGUCCCUUCAUAGAGGGGGAGGUGAAUGCUGAGGAGGAAGGCUUUGAGAACCUGUGGACCACUGCCUCCACCUUCAUCGUCCUCUUCCUCCUGAGCCUCUUCUACAGCACCACCGUCACCCUGUUCAAGGUGAAAUGACUCUCAGCAUGGAAGGACAGCAGAGACCAAGAGAUCCUCCCACAGGGACACUACCUCUGGGCCUGGGAUACCUGACUGUAUGACUAGUAAACUUAUUCUUACGUCUUUCCUGUGUUGCCCUCCAGCUUUUAUCUCUGAGAUGGUCUUCUUUCUAGACUGACCAAAGACUUUUUGUCAACUUGUACAAUCUGAAGCAAUGUCUGGC